rnacentral:misc_RNA from 1 species
GAUCAGGAAAACCGUGUUGUAACAUUAAAGCAAGAAGUUGAACAUUGUAUUAAGAUGGCAGAGUUGAUAGAAUACAAUUUGGAAGAUGCUGAUGCUGCCAUAUUAGCAGUACGUGUAGCUCUUGCUAAUGGAAUGAGUUGGGAAGAUUUGGCUCGAAUGGUGAAAGAGGAGAAAAGAUCUGGAAAUCCAGUAGCUGGACUUAUUGACAAGCUCCAUCUUGAAAGGAAC